UGUUCCAGCCCUUUUUUUUUUAUAUUUAAACUUAAAAAAAAUUUAAUUUUAAAUUUUAAAAAUUUAUAAUUUGUAAUUUCAAAAUUAAAGUUUAUAAUUUUAAAUUUUAAAUUUUAAAUUUUAAAUUUUAAUUUGAUAUUUUUUAUUUUUUAAAUUUAAAAUUUCAUAUUUUAUAUUUUUCAAAUUUAAAAUUUCAUAUUUUAUAUUAUUCAAAUUUUAAUUUGAUCUUAAAUUUAAAAUUUUAACUUCUAAAUUUCAAAAAUCU
rnacentral:lncRNA from 1 species